UCCCUGUAAUACAGCUUGUGUUGCAGUCCAAGAAUGGGAUCCACCUGCAUCUCAGGAAGCUCCAGUAAUGCGGGUCAGAUGUCUGCAGCGGCUUUCCUGAGUGAAAACGAAGGAUUUCAAGAGGUCUGAGGAAGGAUCCCUUCUGCUAUGUUCCAGCUUCUAGAGUUUUGCCCUCAAGGUCUCCCACUGAGUAGAUUUAGCGUCCCAGGGUUGUUCUUCAUUGAAGAACUGAUUUAACGUUUAAUCAAGUAACAGUAAUUCAGCCCAGCCACACUGAAGUAGAACUAAUUGAACAUGAAAGUAAACAUGAAAUUCUAUGUUUGUCAAUUUAGCAUGGAGACAUAUUUCCUCACAUCUACCUAAUCUGAAAAUAAAACUUUGCUGUUUUCCUGA